rnacentral:rRNA from 1 species
GGAAGGGGUGUAUUUAUUAGAUAAAAAACCAACGCCCUUCGGGGCUCCUUGGUGAAUCAUAAUAACUUAACGAAUCGCAUGGCCUUGCGCCGGCGAUGGUUCAUUCAAAUUUCUGCCCUAUCAACUUUCGAUGGUAGGAUAGUGGCCUACCAUGGUGGCAACGGGUAACGGGGAAUUAGGGUUCGAUUCCGGAGAGGGAGCCUGAGAAACGGCUACCACAUCCAAGGAAGGCAGCAGGCGCGCAAAUUACCCAAUCCCGAUACGGGGAGGUAGUGACAAUAAAUACUGAUACGGGGCUCUUUUGGGUCUCGUAAUUGGAAUGAGAACAAUUUAAAUCCCUUAACGAGGAACAAUUGGAGGGCAAGUCUGGUGCCAGCAGCCGCGGUAAUUCCAGCUCCAAUAGCGUAUAUUAAAGUUGUUGCAGUUAAAAAGCUCGUAGUUGAACCUUGGGUCUGGCUGGUCGGUCCGCCUCACCGCGAGUACUGAUCCGGCUGGACCUUUCCUUCUGGGGAACCUCAUGGCCUUCACUGGCUGUGGGGGGAACCAGGACUUUUACUGUGAAAAAAUUAGAGUGUUCAAAGCAGG